GGCAGAGAGAGCCCGACCACCGUGACCCACGGCGCGCUCGCGCGCCGCCGGGACAUGAGGAAAGUCCCCCCACCGUCCGAACAGGUGACCGGGCGCAAGCCCGGAGUCGGAGACGGCUGGCUCUGGAACAGAAACGAGACCCCUCGGUCCGACCGAUGACGUGUGCGAAUCCGACCGUAAGCGAGGAGAGUUAACCCACGGAGGGUGGACGACCGAGAACGGAUGGAACGGCGAAACCUCACCGGUGCAAGUCCGCGCCACGCGGCCGACGCGGCGCGAUUCGUGCGUCGCCCGGCCGCACGGUAGUUCGGACGACGGACGCGGACGCUCAGCCGAAUGUCGGGACGAACAGAAGGGGGCUUACUCCUCUCAGCC
rnacentral:RNase_P_RNA from 1 species